rnacentral:misc_RNA from 1 species
UGGUUCUCGCAUCGAUGAAGAACGCAGCGAAAUGCGAUAAGUAAUGUGAAUUGCAGAAUUCAGUGAAUCAUCGAAUCUUUGAACGCACCUUGCACUCCUUGGUAUUCCGAGGAGUAUGCCUGUUCGAGUGUCAUGAAACUCUCAAACUACAUCUUUAUUGAUGUCAGGUUUGGAUUUGGGCGUUGCUGGACUUUCGGGUUCGGCUCGUCUUGAACUCAUUAGCUGUAGAUUUCGAUUUCAGUUAAACCGUGUGAUAAUACAUCAACGCGGGCAGCCGUCAAGGCGCUGGAUCGUUAUUCGAAGGCUUCUAAUCGUCCUUUCAGGACCGCCUUUACUGGUGUUUCAUUUCACAUCUGGCCUCGAAUCAGGUAGGACUACCCGCUGA